rnacentral:rRNA from 1 species
UACGGAGGGUGCAAGCGUUAUCCGGAUUUACUGGGUUUAAAGGGUGCGUAGGUGGGUUGGGAAGUCAGUGGUGAAAUACUUUCGCUUAACGAAGGAAACUGCCAUUGAUACUAUCAAUCUUGAAUGUAGUGGAGGUAGGCGGAAUGCGUCAUGUAGCGGUGAAAUGCUUAGAUAUGACGCAGAACACCAAUUCGAAGGCAG